AUGGUUCUGCUGGCUGUGACAUCACAGAGAACAGUUCGCGCUGGCACCUGUGUGCAGGGGCAGCAGUGGGCAGUUGGGUUCCAGCAGCCAGCCAUGUCUCCAACGCUGACCUUCAUCCUGUCCCUGUUAGCCACCCACGCUGGGCUGAAAGUCAAUCUAAAUGUUGAGAAGGAUGAAGUAAAACGGAUGCUGGAGCGUGAGGAAUAUCUCCAUCGGGAGAUGAGUCGGCUCCUGAAGGAGAUGCAGGGCAGCAGUGGCACCAUGGAAGCCCUGCUCCCAUUGGCUCUGCAAGAGCAGUGGCUGCUUUGGGCCAGUGCAGCAACCCUGCUUCUGGGCCUGCUGGGUAUGGGCUGCUGUCUGGUCAGGAGGAGGAAGGGCGGCUCUGCCAGCUGCAGGGAGCAGAGGGGAGCCAAGAGAAGGAAGGCUGUCAGCAGCGAGGAGAAGCAGGGCCUGCCCAGCACGAAGGUACUGAAGGAGUUGGUGGAUGAGCUCCUUGGUGUCUGCCGAGUGCUUUCCCGCCGGAGCUUCAUGCCCGAGUUGCAUCCAGGCCCUGGGUGCAGCUCUGACACCUGCUCCGAAUGCUGCAGCGUCCCGGAGAGCAACAGCGCCUACCGCCCUCUGGUCAUCCUGCGGCCACCCCCUGGCCACUCCUUCAGCCUGGAGAGCACAGAGCGGCCACCAGCCAGGCGCAUCCGUGUGGCACUGGAAUGCCUGUGCUCCGGGGAGCAGCUGCUGGGGCAGACGUGCUUCCUGCAUGCCUUGCCUGUGCUCCGGGGAGCAGCUGCUGGGGCAGGCGCAUCCGUGUGGCACUGGAAUGCCUGUGCUCCGGGGAGCAGCUGCUGGGGCAGACGUGCUUCCUGCAUGCCUCUGGUGGCCUGCUGCCCCGGGAUCAAAACUGGUACCUGUUGGACACCCUCUGCACGGGCUCAUGCUUAGAUCCAAAGAAAGUCACCCAGUGGGUCCAGAUGUUGGUGGCAUCGGCCUGGCGCUGUUUACCGCAGUCGCGUUACUACCAUCUCACAGCGCUGCCCUCGAGCAAGUCCUGCACCUGGCAGCUGAGCAGCACCUGUGGGCUGCACUGCAGGAUUGAGCUAGCUUUGGCUGUGCAGCAAGACAGUUCAGGUGCUUACCUGAGCCUUGAGUAGGCAGCAACCAGCAAUCAGCAGCACCAUGUGGGCCAGAGAGCUGCCACCUCUCAGACUCACUGCCAAGUGGCCACCACUGUGGAGGUGACAUCAUUGUUUCCAAAGGAGGCUGUUCAGGUCUUGACAGGUUAAAAUAUAAAGAAAUCUUUACAAACCACCAUAGGACUAUAAUGGACUCUUGUUCUGUAAGCCCACCAGCCUGCACAACUCCCCCUUCUUAAUUUAAAAAAAAAGCAUCCUCUAAAGAUCGUAAAAUUAAGUUUUUAAAAUAACUUAAUAAACACAAGACAAUAAAACAAUC
rnacentral:lncRNA from 12 species